GAUGAACGCUAGCGGCAGGCUUAAUACAUGCAAGUCGAGGGGCAGCAUGGUGUAGCAAUACACUGAUGGCGACCGGCAAACGGGUGCGGAACACGUACAGAACCUUCCUUCGAGCGGGGAAUAGCCCAGAGAAAUUUGGAUUAAUACCCCAUAGUAUAUUGAAAAGGCAUCUUUUUAAUAUUAAAGAUUUAUCACUUGAAGAUGGCUGUGCGGCUGAUUAGGUAGUUGGCGGGGUAACGGCCCACCAAGCCUGCGAUCAGUAACUGGUGUGAGAGCACGACCAGUCACACGGGGACUGAGACACGGGCCCGACUCCUACGGGAGGCAGCAGUAAGGAAUAUUGGUCAAUGGACGAAAGUCUGAACCAGCCAUGCCGCGUGGAGGAUGAAGGUCCUCUGGAUUGUAAACUUCUUUUAUAUGGGACGAAAAAAGGCUUUUCUAAGUCGUCUGACGGUACCAUAUGAAUAAGCACCGGCUAACUCCGUGCCAGCCGCCGCGGUAAAAC
rnacentral:rRNA from 1 species